UAAGAAACUCAUUUUUUUAAAGAAAAUGUAACUUGAAAAAAAGCCAUUUGUUUUGCUAUGAUGUAUCUAUUGUAAGUUGAAAACUCGAUUUAUUUCUCUAGUUUGGUUUUUCUACUUUCAUGAUAUUAUAAAUACCAAAAUAAACACUUUUUGUAUACAUGCUUUUUGGUAUACGUGCAACUAAACCUCCUCUGUAAACUUUAUUAUGUACAAGAACUCAACCGUUGGUUGCAAACGUGUUUGGUUGAGACAUUGUACACGGAUUAUGUGCUUUACAACUGUGUUUGUCCAAGUCAAGUGUCGGUGGGCAACAUUGCCAUGAAUUGUAAUGGCAUCAGUCAUGUAGCUAGCUAUGAUAACUGUGGAGAUGGAAGAAA